UACGUAGGGUGCAAGCGUUGUCCGGAAUUAUUGGGCGUAAAGAGCUCGUAGGUGGCCUGUCGCGUCGGCUGUGAAAACUCGGGGCUCAACUCCGAGCUUGCAGUCGAUACGGGCAGGCUAGAGUUCGGCAGGGGAGACUGGAAUUCCUGGUGUAGCGGUGAAAUGCGCAGAUAUCAGGAGGAACACCAGCGGCGAAGGCGGCGCUCUGGGCCGGUACUGACGCUGAGGAGCGAAAGCGUGGGUAGCAAACAGG
rnacentral:rRNA from 1 species